rnacentral:rRNA from 1 species
CCUACGGGAGGCAGCAGUGGGGAAUAUUGCACAAUGGGGGAAACCCUGCUGCAGCGACGCCUCGUGAGUGAAGAAGUAUUUCGGUAUGUAAAGCUCUAUCAGCAGGGAAGAAGAAAGACGGUACCUGACUAAGAAGCACCGGCUAACUACGUGCCAGCAGCCGCGGUAAUACGUAGGGGGCAAGCGUUAUCCGGAUUUACUGGGUGGAAAGGGAGCGUAGACGGCUGUGCAAGUCUGAAGUGAAAGCCCAGGGCUCAACCCUGGGACUGCUUUGGAAAAUGUGGAGCUAGAGUGCUGGAGAGGUAAGUGGAAUUCCUAGUGUAGCGGUGAAAUGCGUAGAUAUUAGGAGGAACACCAGUGGCGAAGGCGGCUUACUGGACAGUAACUGACGUUGAGGCUCGAAAGCGUGGGGAGCAAACAGGAUUAGAUACCCUAGUAGUC